CCCCACUGUACGCAUUCCAGCGAGAGCCCACAUGCAAGAUCAGAAGCUGUUAUCUUGAAAAGCUCUCUCUUUCGAAAUUGCAUGUGCGAGCACCGUUCACAUGAGAGCUUUUCUCUCUGCAAACAUAGCUUACGGCUAGCCCUUCGAGAACCUUCUUAGCUCUCUCACACACAGCUUUUGGAGGGGUAAAAUAGUUAGGCUAAGUGCAUGCUGCACAGAACAAAAAUUGCAUUCAAGGUUGGAAGACUUAAUUGAUGUGCGUGUAGAAAAUAUACAAAAAAAAAAAAAACGUGGUGAAAAUUUUGCAAAACCAUAAAAGGGAACAUAAACCAAAUAAAACCAAUAUAAAAGUGUUGUGGCUGCAAAGACGAAAACUUAAAAACCAACCCCUGGAUAAGGUACGCCAAGAAAAAAAUGAAAAAGUGACCUUAUUACAUAAUUCCAUGUAUGUACUGUACAUAGGUUAUGAUCCACGUGUGGCAGGAAAUUGCUGACCUGGCCUGACCCUCGGUCCCGGAGGGGGGGUCCGCUCCAGUACCACGAUCAUCAGUCCUUCUUUUUGGUGCCACCGGACCUUGCCUGCAGGUUGUUGGUUUAUACAUAUAUCGAGUUGUUUAUAUAUAUAUAUCUCACGCGCAACUAUAAAACCAUCUAUUAUAUUAUAUCACCGCGCCUUGUGUAAAGAAAUGUUGGUGCUUGCAUAUGUAGGGUGUGGAAAAAUUAGCUCAGCGGUCAUUGCCCUUGCGGCUGACCAUACACCUAUGCGCACUUAAAUAGACCCACCUGACCGUAUGUCACCUAUUCUCUCCUUCUCUCAGGUUAUUAAAAUUGUUCGAUGCCGACAUUCUAAAAGCCACUUAAGGGAAGAAAAGUAAAUCACAAAAAUCUAGAAAAGAAAAUAAUGAAAAAUCAUGGAGAGAAGAAAAAAAAUAGAAAAGAAAAUUGUUCAAUAAUAUUAAAUAUUCCUAGACAUUAACUUAGAAAUAGAAGAAGAAAAACAUGAAAUUUAUGCGUAGUUAAUAAUAGAUUCUAAAGGGUGCAUCAUCGGUCUCAUUGUGUCCAUGGAAGGGUAUUGGUAAAAUACCUCUUCAUAACGCUUCUUGUUAUUUUGCAUAUUUCUACAUUUCUUUAACAGUUAGAACGUGAAAUUGGGCCCAACGACACCAACAGCUGUUUAAAAGUCUGUAAGUAGACACACAUAUACACACAUACACUCCGGGUCAGGAGAAUAGCGUCUACACAGUGAGACAUGCAUGCUUAACCAUAUAUAAAAUGAAUUAUUAUUAACUAUAAUCACUACAAUUAUGCCAUUUAAUUCAUUUAAUUAAUUAAUUCUUACUUUAUAUUUUGAUUAUAUUAUUUUUAUUCAUAUUUGAUCAUUCUCUUGAAUUCCUAUGUAUUAAAUUAGUCCCACAUAUAUAUACACAUGCAGUAAAAAUAGUUUUAAGGGUUAGGGUAGAAAUAAUGGGGGUUACAAACAACCUGAAGUCAUACAAGUCAAANUUGAUGUGCGUGUAGAAAAUAUACAAAAAAAAAAAAAAAAAAAAAACGUGGUGAAAAUUUUGCAAAACCAUAAAAGGGAACAUAAACCAAAUAAAAACCAAUAUAAAAGUGUUGUGGCUGCAAAGACGAAAACUUAAAAACCAACCCCUGGAUAAGGUACGCCAAGAAAAAAAUGAAAAAGUGACCUUAUUACAUAAUUCCAUGUAUGUACUGUACAUAGGUUAUGAUCCACGUGUGGCAGGAAAUUGCUGACCUGGCCUGACCCUCGGUCUCGGAGGGGGGGUCCGCUCCAGUACCACGAUCAUCCGUCCCUCUUUUUGGUGCCACCGGACCUUGCCUGCAGGCGAAAAAACGGAUGGACUUGGCGAUCGGGACCGAGUUGUUUAUAUACAUAUAUCUCACGCGCAACUAUAAAACCAUCUAUUAUAUUAUAUCACCGCGCCUUGUGUAAAGAAAUGUUGGUGCUUGCAUAUGUAGGGUGUGGAAAAAUUAGCUCAGCGGUCAUUGCCCUUGCGGCUGACCAUACACCUAUGCGCACUUAAAUAGACCCACCUGACCGUAUGUCACCUAUUCUCUCCUUCUCUCAGGUUAUUAAAAUUGUUCGAUGCCGACAUUCUAAAAGGCACUUAAGGGAAGAAAAGUAAAUCAAAAAAAUCUAGAAAAGAGAAUUUAAUGAAAAAUCAUGGAUAGAAGAAAAAAAAUAGAAAAGAAAAUUGUUCAAUAAUAUUAAAUAUUCCUAGACAUUAACUUAGAAAUAGAAGAAGAAAAACAUGAAAUUUAUGCGUAGUUAAUAAUAGAUUCUAAAAGGGUGUAAGAUCGGUCUCAUUGUGUCCAUGGAAGGGUAUUGGUAAAAUACCUCUUCAUAACGCUUCUUGUUAUUUUGCAUAUUUCUACAUUUCUUUAACAGUUAGAACGUGAAAUUGGGCCCAACGACACCAACAGCUGUUUAAAGGUCUGUAAGUAGACACACAUAUACACACAUACACUCCGGGUCAGGAGAAUAGCGUCUACACAGUGAGACAUUCAUGCUUAACCAUAUAUAAAAUGAAUUAUUAUUAACUAUAAUCACUACAAUUAUGCCAUUUAAUUCAUUUAAUUAAUUAAUUCUUACUUUAUAUUUUGAUUAUAUUAUUUUUAUUCAUAUUUGAUCAUUCUCUUGAAUUCCUAUUAUUAAAUUAGUCCCACAUAUAUAUACACAUGCAGUAAAAAUAGUUUUAAGGGUUAUGGUAGAAAUAAUGGGGGUUACAAACAACCUGAAGUCAUACAAGUCAAAGUAAAAUUAUAACGAUUUAACAUGAAUUUCUAAUCUGAUUUUUGGGAGGGGUUCCUAAGGCACAUAGGCAGCAGCGGCAGGUUUUGGGUAGAACCAUAAUGGCAUAUUCUUGUGUUAUUCUACAUGGAGAGUGGGUCAAGAGGGAAGAGCACAACCACCUUGCUCUUCACAGUAGGUAGUGGACCUUAAGUUCCGUCCGGGUUUGUAAUUCCAAUCCCAGUUCCCGUGAAUCUGUCUACGAUUUUGUUAGGUGAAGGAGUUCGUUUUCGCAGCACAACACCCACCCCAUUUGCCCUGAGCCUAGCCGGCAACUUUUAGUAGACAGAGAGUGCUGACGAGACGACACUUCCCGUGUCCGUUACAUAAUAAAUGGCGCCCAACGUGGGGCUCGAAUGGUCCGUUUUCCCAAUAACCUUCCCCAAUCCCUUCCGCAACCCAAUAUUGAUCCAAAUUUUAAGGUAGUUCAGUUUUUGUGUUAUAUGUCCAGCUCGGAACUGCUGGGAAUCUGAUCAUUGUCGGACACAGACCAGUGGAUAUAUUGCAUAGAAGAAGAUCACAGUAGACUUCAUUAUAUCAUUUCAUCAGGAUACUAGGAACGAUAGUUCUGAGUAAAUUGGUUCUAUACCUAGUAGCGAAGAUGAAUGACCUUUAUUCUCUCGAGAUUAGUUGAGA
rnacentral:lncRNA from 1 species